rnacentral:rRNA from 1 species
UACAGGGGGUGCAAACGUUGCUCGGAAUCAUUGGGCGUAAAGCGCACGUAGGCGGUUUGUUAUGUCGGAUGUGAAAGCCCUUGGCUCAACUGAGGAAGUGCAUCCGAAACUGGCAAGCUAGAGUACUAAAGAGGGUCGCGGAAUUCCCGGUGUGAGAGGUGAAAUUCGUAGAUAUCGGGAGGAACACCGGUGGCGAAGGCGGCGACCCUGGGACAAUACUGACGCUGAGGUGCGAAAGCGUGGGGAGCAAACAGG